UACGAAGGACCCAAGCGUUAUCCGGAUUUAUUGGGUUUAAAGGGUGCGUAGGCGGAUUAUUAAGUCAGUGGUGAAAGCCUGCAGCUUAACUGCAGAAUUGCCAUUGAUACUGAUGAUCUUGAGUAUGAUUGAGGUGGGCGGAAUGUGUCAUGUAGCGGUGAAAUGCUUAGAUAUGACACAGAACACCGAUUGCGAAGGCAGCUCACUAAGCCAUAACUGACGCUGAUGCACGAAAGCGUGGGGAGCAAACAGG
rnacentral:rRNA from 1 species